UACGUAGGGGGCUAGCGUUGCUCGGAAUCACUGGGCGUUAAGGGUGCGUAGGCGGGUCUUUAAGUCAGGGGUGAAAUCCUGGAGCUCAACUCCAGAACUGCCUUUGAUACUGAAGAUCUUGAGUUCGGGAGAGGUGAGUGGAACUGCGAGUGUAGAGGUGAAAUUCGUAGAUAUUCGCAAGAACACCAGUGGCGAAGGCGGCUCACUGGCCCGAUACUGACGCUGAGGCACGAAAGCCAGGGGAGCGAACGGG
rnacentral:rRNA from 1 species